ensembl:lncRNA
UUGACUUACGGUUCCCUCACUGUAUGGAUAAGAAACUGCUCUCACAUAAAUCAACCCUCCCUCAUAAUAGGUUUCAAGCAAUGGGGCCUGGAGACAUAUCAGCAUUUCAGCUUUAUCCACAACCUCUACAAUAAUUCUUAUGAUCUGCAUAUUACUAACAUCAGUGUCUCUGAUCUGGGACUCUACUACUGUGUGGAAGAACAGAAUACGCUACACGAAGAUGAACAAGGCAUCCUCUACUCAUCUAAGGUAUACUAUAAUGGAAACCGAACAAUUCGCCUCUCUCUGGAAGAAUCACCCUCUGCACCUCCUGACUGUGUGCUCUGCUGGACGCUGCUGUUCAGUGUGUGUCCUGUGUGUGUUCUCCUCUCUUCACUCCUGUCCUCCAUCUGUGUGUUCUGCUUCUGUCGGGCUCAAACUACAGGUUCUGAGUGGAAUGCAGAGAUAAUCACAGCAGAUGUUAAUAAGGGGGAUUCUAUGGAGAAUCAUCAGUGUGAGACGAGUAAGACGGGAAAGAUCUGCCUCCACACUGAAGUCUCUUAUAGACUACUGCCAUCUGCACAUCCCUAUGCCAAGAUGUGAUUCUGGCUGCUCAAUUUAUACAAUUUACUGCAAAAUUACCGCACUCAGCAAUGUCAUAUUUAAUAUCUGAACUUGUUUUUUUCUCAAACAUGCUUUAACAACAUUUAGUACGCAUGCACACACAUGCAACAUAAACCCAUUUUAAAUCCAAUGAUACAUUUACAUGUGAAUUUAUGCACAAUACACAACACAUUCAACAAUAAAAUGGCAAUUCAAAUUAAAUGUAAACA